rnacentral:rRNA from 1 species
UGGGGAAUUUUGCGCAAUGGGCGAAAGCCUGACGCAGCGACGCCGCGUGUACGAUGAAGGCCUUUGGGUCGUAAAGUACUGUCAACGGGGACGAACGCGGCACAUUAAAUAGAUGUGUCGUCUGACGGUACCCGUGGAGGAAGCACCGGCUAACUCUGUGCCAGCAGCCGCGGUAAUACAGAGGGUGCGAACGUUGCUCGGAUUUACUGGGCGUAAAGCGCGUGUAGGCGGACUCGCAAGUCGGUUGUGAAAUCCCUGGGCUCAACCUAGGAACUGCAUCCGAAACUGCUUGUCUUGAGUAAUGGAGAGGGUGGCGGAAUUCCCGGUGUAGAGGUGAAAUUCGUAGAUAUCGGGAGGAACACCAGUGGCGAAGGCGGCCACCUGGACAUUCACUGACGCUGAGACGCGAAAGCGUGGGGAGCAAACAGGAUUAGAUACCCCCGUAGUCC